ACUGCAUUUUUUUACACAUGUGUUUUUCUUUUUUUUUGAAACUUUGCUUUGGUGGGCCCAUGGCCUGGCAGAAAUUAAACUCAACCAAAUUUUAUUUAAGUCAACUGAUUAACUAAAAGUCAAAACUUUCAACAACGGAUCUCUUGGGUCUCGCAUCGAUGAAAAACGCAGCGAAAUGCGAUAAGUAAUAUGAAUUGCAGAUAUUCGUGAAUCAUCGAAUCUUUGAACGCACAUUGCGCCCUUUGGGAUUCCAAAGGGGAUGCCUGUUUGAGCGUCAUUUCUCCCUCAAACCUUCGGGUUUGGGGUUGAGCGAUACGCUGGGUUUGCUUGAAAGAAAGGCGGAGUAUAAACUAAUGGAUAGGUUUUUUUCCACUCCUUGGUACAAACUCCAAAAUUCUUCCAAAUUCGACCUCAAAUCAGGUAGGACUACCCGCUGAACUUAAGCAUAUCAAUAAGCGGAGGAGAAGAAACCAACAGGGAUUGCCUUAUUAGCGGCGAGUGAAGCGGCAAAAGCUCAAAUUUGAAAUCUGGCGCUUUCAGUGUCCGAGUUGUAAUUUGAAGAAGGUAUCUUUGGGGCUGGCGCUUGUCUAUGUUUCUUGGAGCAGAACGUCACAGAGGGUGAGAAUCCCGUGCGAUGAGAUGUCCCACACCUAUGUAAAGUUCCUUCGAAGAGUCGAGU
rnacentral:rRNA from 1 species